GAAUUUGGACUCCUCAAAGUACCCUUGGUACAGUCCUGUUUCCAUUAAGGAGCUAUGGAGCUUGUUGAACUUCAAUGUGACGCUAAAUCAUGCAAGCUUUAAACUCGUCGUUGGUAAUACUGGCACAGGUUAUUAUAAGGAAACUCAGCGAUAUGAUCAUUAUGUUGAUCUCAGACACAUUCCUGAACUCUCAAUCAUCAAAAGAGAUCAGACAGGCAUUGAAGUUGGAGCAACUGUGACUAUCUCUAAAUUCAUUUCAGUCUUGCAAGAGGAAAGUAAUAUCAAUUUGGGUUCAUAUGGGAAGUUGGUAUCCCAAAAAUUGGCUGACCACAUGGAGAAGAUUGCUUCACCAUUUGUUAGAAACUCUGCUAGUGUGGGAGGAAAUUUGGUUAUGGCACAGAAGAAUGGUUUUCCUUCUGAUAUCGCUACAUUACUUCUCGGGCUUUCUGCUACUGUUAGCUUGAUGACCAGUCAUGGACCUGAAAACCUCACAUGGGAGGAGUUAUUAUCAAGACCACCACUAGACUCAAAGACUGUGCUUCUAAGUGUUUGCAUCCCAUUUAAGAAAGAUCGAAGUUCUCACCAAACUCAUUCUAGAUUUUUGUUUGAAACCUAUCGAGCUGCUCCACGACCUCAUGGGAAUGCAUUGGCAUAUGUAAAUGCUGCGUUCCAGGCUGAUGUUUCUCACAGCAAGAACGGCGUCCUGAUAAACAAUAUCCAUUUGGCGUUUGGUGCGUAUGGCACAAAACAUGCAAAAAGGGCUAAAAAGGUAGAAGAAUGCCUAUCCGGGAAAAUGUUGAGUGUACAUGUUUUGUAUGAAGCACUUAAAUUAGUCAAACUAGCGGUGGUACCGGAAGAUGGCACUUUACACCCUGAGUACAGAUCAAGCUUGGCCGUCAGUUAUGUUUUUGAGUUUCUUUAUCCCUUAACUGAUGUUCAUUCUUCUAUUUCUGGUGGUUUACUUGAUGGAAUUAAUGACAUCACAGAUGAGGAACUUUCGGAAAGUAGUAAUAAUGGUUGCAUUAGUCAGGGGAAAAAACAAACACUACUAUCUUCUUCUAAGCAGGUAGUGGAGUUUAGUACGGAGUACUCUCCAGUAGGUGAACCGUUGAAGAAGAUCGGAGCUGCCAUGCAAGCUGCUGGUUUGUUAUCCCCUUUUAAUAUUUUAUUUCAUCUUGUGCAUGUUAAGUCCAAAAUCUCAUACCAACUUUUCCUGUCCUUGACUGCUGGCUUUUUGACAUUUAAAUUUUAAGGCAGCUAUGUUGUUCAGACACUUAAAAAUGUUAGCAUCCAACAGGGGUGGACAACAUUUUUGAAGGGUCCAAGCAACAUAGUUAUAUUGAAAAUGUUAUCUGGUAUUUAAAGUGAAAAUACACAACUAAAGUAAUAGCAAGUACAGGAGGGAAAGUCUAUAAUAAGAGAUAUGAGAUCGAGGAAAUAGUUUACUCUGUCUUAGCUCUGGAUAAAGCAUUGCGUUAGGAAUCAUUCGACACCUCUGGUACAACUAUAGGUACCAUUCUUUGGGGUGUUAAUACAUAUUUUUGCCGAACUUUGUAGUGUGUUUUGGAUAAAACAUUGUGUAAGGAGACGAAGCUUGAGAUUCCGUUUUCAGGUGUUACCAAUUGGUCAUUCUUCUCCUUUUUUGUUGCCCUUGUUGUCAUGUAUUCCUCUUGCCAUGUUUUUGUUCUUUUUUUAACACAAAAUAGUUUAUCUGCACACCAGUUUAACUAUAACUUUGAGUCUGCAACAUUCUGAACUUUAGGUGUGCUGGUUUACAUAAUAUUUUUCAGGUGAAGCAGUUUAUGUAGAUGAUAUUCCUUCACCACCAAACUGCUUGAAUGGAGCAUUUAUCUACAGUACAAAACCAUUAGCUGGUGUCAAGGGAAUCCAGCUUGAGCCUACUCAUUUAACAGACACCACCAUAAUUACUUACAAAGAUAUCCCAACAGGAGGGGCAAAUGCAGGAGCUGUUACACCGUUUGGCUCCGAGCCCUUAUUUGCAGAAGAUCUCUCCCGUUGUGCUGGCGACAGAAUUGCAUUUGUG
rnacentral:lncRNA from 1 species